rnacentral:miRNA from 1 species
UUACUUUGUUUUAUUUUGG